rnacentral:rRNA from 1 species
UUUAACAAAGAGAAGCAAAGCCGCGAGGUAGAGCAAAUCUCAAAAAAACAAUCUCAGUUCAGACUGCAGGCUGCAACUCGCCUGCACGAAGUCGGAAUUGCUAGUAAUCGUAGGUCAGCAUACUACGGUGAAUACGUUCCCGGGCCUUGUACACACCGCCCGUCAAACCAUGAGAGUUGGCAACACCCGAAGUCGGUAGUCUAACCGCAAGGAGGACGCCGCCGAAGGUGGGGUUGAUGAUUAGGGUUAAGUCGUAACAAGGUAUC